ACCAUUUUAGCUCAGCUGGUAGAGAAUGAGACUCUUAAUCUCAGGGUUGUGGGUUCGAGCCCCACAUUGGGCA
rnacentral:tRNA from 1 species